CAACAAUCGACGAAUCAUUGUUGAGUGCAGAUUACUGAAAUGACAAGCAAGAACACACAUCGCACGCUCUUCCUUUUUUAACAGACUACGAGAAGUUAACGCACGACUUCGUACGAGGAUUGCUGAUCUCGUGGGAAUGACUGCGACGGAGCAGCGGACAGAAAUAUACCCGAUAAAACAAAGGAAUAAAAAGACUGAGGUAACGGAACAAUCGAAGGCAGCAAGCAAAGGUUGACACUCAUUCAAUUGGAGUUGACACGAUUUACCAUUCAGCAUUGGCUUGUUCCUUUCACAGUUCUGCGCCAUCGCCUCGACCAUCUGUAAUCAGCUAUGCAAAGCUGCUGUCCAAUAAGAUUUCCUGGAAGCGUAGUGCCGACACGUUUGCGUCGACGGAAGAAUAAAUGGUGAAUGUGACGAUACGACUGUUCUGGCUUCUCUGCAGAGAUGGCUGCAUUAAUUCAUUAAGUGUUUUUUCGUGUAUCUGACAAAGUUAGAAAACGGUAAUGAUAAAGAGUUUGCUAUACUCAAUAAUAAUAAUAAUAAUAAUAAGCUAAAUUUAGUGAAGAUACUGUAUUUGAAAAGACACCACGUACCGAUUUUGCUCGACGCAAUAUAAAGCUGACCACGUGAACUUGACCAUACUCUGAAGCGCUGCCUUUUAGCGUCUCGUAAUAGCUUGAUCAGUGCUUCCAGCCUAUGACACAGUGUUUGGUGCAAUGCACUAUUGCAUUUUUUAAAAGUGACGAUAUCUGGUCUUGAGAUACGGCUCAAAGGAUCGAGCCUUGUGUGUUUAAAGCCGCUAAAUUUUAAACCACAAAAAAGAAGUGAUACCAAGUUCUUCAUUCGUAUAUAGGUUUGAUACCCUACACCAGAAGACUUCAAAAGCUAUACAUGUCGGUGCGUGUGUGAAUGUCUUUAUCUUUUUCUACAAAUACAUGCAAGUAUUACUUAGCAUAUGUGAACUUGCAGAUAGCGUUUAUUUCCCUAUACAGCUGUCUUGUCGCAACUACCAUUCUCAAUGGGGGGGGUCGAAGUACACGCGACUGCAACGGCGGAUAGAAACGAGCAUAUCGAAGCCAUAAGAGGAGAGGGGGCCAAAUGAUGCUAGUGUUGUUGACCCCACUCCCCCCCCAACGAUUCUUUAUUCGGUUCCUGCUUGGCCUGAAAAUGUGCAGGAUGUCACCCUUUUGCUAUGCGUGCGCGAAACGCCUUCGUCGAAGCUCGGAGCGGGAUCGAAAGUGGUUCCUUGUGCUUGCUGCUGCUUUACAUAAAGACAGUGAGGCGAACAAUUGUAUCACCUGCUGAAUGUAAAUAUAUGCGUAAAUAGUUGAUUGUGAAUAUAUGAUUGGCAUAGCGUUGCUGGACGAAGCAGGUCAAAGAGUAAGUGGACGUGUCUGGAUAAGCCCUGAUGCACCGCGUUCCUUCGGCCUUUCGAAGCUACCUCGUUCGCGGUUAACGUCAUUAGGAUUUCGCUCGAUAUCGGACCACCAGAUGUCACUCGACAAUAUUGAUACUGCAGAAUCGCUUGUCGAAGCUCGGUCGGCCUUUUGCGUUUCUGAACAACCCGAAUGGAGAGACGGGCUAGCGUCGGCCGCCUUCCAGCCCCAUCUCAUCGUCGAGCACCCGGCCGCCAAAACAGCCGACAGCGUUCGGUAAGUAAAUCGACUGAUGCCCGAAUGUAACUACUAAACAAGCAUCGUUUGACUGAGUUAGCUCAUUUAUUAGUUCUUCAGACCUUGCCAAGCGUCCCCCGCAGCCCUGGCCGUCUUCCUAUCCGCCUGCUAAAGUAGGGCAGUGCUAUUGCCUGCGCGCAAGCCAAAACGAGCCUUCUCCCGGCUGAGCGGUGCGCUCUCCACCGAGGGUGGACACUUUGCAUUGUUAAUUAAGCUUUAAAUUUGUUUUAAUCAGCUGCUGUUACAUCCACACGCGUUUUCUUCCACUUGCUUCCGUUUCAUCACAAUCGCAUUUUCCUCACCCGUCCGUUAUUCACUAUUGCCCCCGCUACUGUGUCUUAUUCGAUCAGUUUGGCCUGACGCCUUCCCCACGUUUUAUUUUUCCUGUUCCUACAUCCUAGCCAUUUGAAGAAAGACAAAGAUACUACUGUGUUGCUUGAGGGCUGCCUGUAUAACCUAUGCAGAGUGUUUUUUAUUAUUACUAAAUGAGUUUGAGUACAACCAUCGAAAUGUAGAGUAUGAUUUUCGAAUUAGCGUUGCUCUGAUCUUAAACAAGCUGUAAUGUGAUGAAACACGAAGAGUCACUCAAAGCAACUCAACCGCUAUAAGGAGAUGUUUUUAUGGCACUAGAUGUUAUUAUAGAUAUUACACAGACUGAUUCUAUGUAGACAUAUAUAUAUAUAUAUAUAUAUUAACCAAAGCGUGGAUUGGAAAUGCCUUAUGCGUACCGUGACAGUUAGCGAUUAACUAAAUUGAGACAAUUGGCCCGCUCCUGCCAUGUGAGCACCCCACUUGUGCUAGUGCUUGAUGUUGCAUUCAUUGCAGCUUCCGUUACGAGAAGCGGAUAUCUGCCUGUACACACCCGUCGAAUCAGGCACGGAUUGUUAAAACCGAGAGAACGAUCACAAUUAGCUAAUGAACAAAUUUUAACGGCGCGUACGAAACGCCAAGCGUAUUCCGAGCAGUAAGGAAGGAAGAGAAAUCUCCCACUACUAUUCGCGAACAAAAAAAACAGAAUCCUUCGGCGAAUUAGCUAAUUACAGGGGUACUGGGCGGACGAUGAGGGGGUUACACUUUGAAGGAAAGAGAGGGGAAAUGGGCGGUGGUGGCGAGUGGUGGAGAAGUAACUGUAACUCGUUGAACAUCCAGGUCAGCCCACCAGGUUGGCUUUCCUUUGCUCCGCCACCUUUAAAGCUACUUUUUUUGCUGUGACGAGCCUUAUUUGCUCUGAGUCAGUCUAUGCAAGCCUGGACGUGCAAGCCUGUUUGUCAACAGUUUUCUUGAAAAAUCUGUAAUAAUGCUACGAUUGUAUAGGAACUACUUUCAGUAGCAUACGUAGCAUAAUAAACCAAAAAAAAAAAAAAAUUGACUACUAAUAGCAUGAUAAUUGUUAUUGUAAGUUUGAGUAAAAUGGUGGAGGUAAACGGUAGGUGGACGUAACAUCUGAGAUUUGAUUCGGCCUUAACUAUCUUUUUGUUAAAUCAAUGUAAUACGAAAACGUGUCUUUUACAAAUUUCGUUUAUUUAAGGCCACAAAAUGACGAUAAAAUGUUACACAAAAAAAAAAUAGAAAAAAAAAACCGUCUUCGCUACACUGUCAUCCGUCGCCUCACUUCUAUAUAGCAAAUGGAAAAUUAGUGCUUCUUUCGAGCCAUAGUCAAUUUUUAGACUUUUCAAGUAUCUAAGAUCAACAUUCUAUCAAUUGUUACGGCAGUUUAUUCAAUGAGUAAUUAUUUUUAAGCCUUAACUUUGUAUUGGCCAGCUCAACUGAAACAUACGAUUAGUUUUUGCAUCGAUCGUACGACUGCCAUUUCAAUCUUACUGUCAUCAUCACGCCAUAAAAUUAUA
rnacentral:lncRNA from 1 species